rnacentral:rRNA from 1 species
UACGUAGGGCGCAAGCGUUAUCCGGAAUUAUUGGGCGUAAAGCGCUCGUAGGCGGUUUGUCGCGUCUGCCGUGAAAGUCCGGGGCUCAACUCCGGAUCUGCGGUGGGUACGGGCAGACUAGAGUGAUGUAGGGGAGACUGGAAUCCCUGGUGUAGCGGUGGAAUGCGCAGAUAUCAGGAGGAACACCAAUAGCGAAGGCAGCUCGCUGGGACGGUACUGACGCUAAGGCGCGAAAGCGUGGGGAGCAAACAGG